GAAAAGGGAUGUACAAAGAUUUUUCGUUUUUUUUUUUUAUUCUGGGAUCAUAAGGAUUUGAAGGAUAUAUAUUAGGAUCCAAUAGAUGGCAGUAAUGCAACAACUAUGGAUGCAAGCUGUCGUUAAAUCCUAAAGAAGAAGAAAAAGAAGAAGAAGAAGAAGAAGAAGAAGAAGACGACGACGACUUUACUGUGUUUGGAUUUUACUGGUAUGCCGGACAACGUCUCGCGUUCAACUCCUCUAGGACGCGAUCCACAACUUUCAGCCAGUCCGCAGACUGACGAGAAGAAACUGCUGAUUGCUAUCAGUGGACUGUCUCGUCAGCUUACUCAACAUACUGCCGACAUGAAUGAGAGGUUCACUCAACUGCAGAAUUCGGUAAACUCCAGGUUGCUGUCCAUAGAGGACAAGAUGGCGGCUCUGCAGUCGAAGAACUGUGCUGGAGAGACUAACUCCAAGAAGAGAAGACGGAUGCACAAAAGCUUGCGGUAAGAAUAUAUUUGACUGCUAGCUAAGCUAAAAGUAGCCUAGCCAUAACCCAAAGCUAAGGGUGUAUUUUUUGUGAUUUACAGUACGCCGUCUUCACAACUCGGAGACAAAUUGCAGGCGCUAUGAACCGGCGCAAGGACUAAGCACGCCUCAUAAUGAGGCAGUUACCUCCUAUCUGCUCGGAGCAAUAACUGCAAGCCUCGAUUUACACUAUAUUGAUAAAGACGACAUUGUGUCCGCCUGUAAGACGUAUUACGAGACGGUACGCAGGAGCUUCAGAUAUACGCAGCCAGAGAACUCAAUGCGGGCGGAAGCUGCCAAGAAUUCAGCUCGGAGUCGAGCGAGAAGAAAGAGGCUGCAGGAAUCGAGGCAGAGCGUGCUAGCUGAUGAGGAAGUGGAACUCUGGAUGUCCGCCACCGUCGACCUCAUGUCUGACGAGGAAGAUGGCGUCGUUGGCGGGGU